rnacentral:rRNA from 1 species
GAUGCUGGCUCAGCAUUGAACGCUGGCGGCAGGCCCAACACAUGCAAGUCGAGCGGUAACAUUUCUAGCUUGCUAGAAGAUGACGAGCGGCGGACGGGUGAGUAAUACUUGGGGAUCUGCCUGAUGGCGGGGGACAACCACUGGAAACGGUGGCUAAUACCGCAUAAUGCCUACGGGCCAAAGUGUGGGACCUUCGGGCCACAUGCCAUCAGAUGAACCCAAGCGAGAUUAGCUAGUUGGUGAGGUAACGGCUCACCAAGGCGACGAUCUCUAGCUGUUCUGAGAGGAUGAUCAGCCACACUGGGACUGAGACACGGCCCAGACUCCCACGGGGGGUAGCAGUGGGGAAUAUUGGACAAUGGGCGCAAGCCUGAUCCAGCCAUGCCGCGUGUGUGAAGAAGGCCUUCGGGUUGUAAGGCACUUUCAGUGGUGAGGAAGGCGUUGUAGUUAAUAGCUGCAACGAUUGACGUUAGCCACAGAAGAAGCACCGGCUAACUCCGUGCCAGCAGCCGCGGUAAUACGGAGGGUGCGAGCGUUAAUCGGAAUUACUGGGCGUAAAGCGCACGUAGGCGGCUUGUUAAGCAAGAUGUGAAAGCCCAGGGCUCAACCUUGGAAUUGCAUUUUGAACUGGCAAGCUAGAGUUUUGAAGAGGGUGGUAGAAUUUCCAGUGUAGCGGUGAAAUGCGUAGAUAUUAGAAGGAAUACCAGUGGCGAAGGCGGCCACCUGGUCAAAACUGACGCUGAGGAGCGAAAGCGUGGGG